rnacentral:rRNA from 1 species
GACGAACGCUGGCGGCGUGCUUAACACAUGCAAGUCGAACGGAAAGGCCCUGCUUUUGUGGGGUGCUCGAGUGGCGAACGGGGGAGUAACACGUGAGUAACCUGCCCUUGACUUUGGGAUAACUUCAGGAAACUGGGGCUAAUACCGGAUAGGAGCUCCUGCUGCAUGGUGGGGGUUGGAAAGUUUCGGCGGUUGGGGAUGGACUCGCGGCUUAUCAGCUUGUUGGUGGGGUAGUGGCUUACCAAGGCUUUGACGGGUAGCCGGCCUGAGAGGGUGACCGGCCUCAUUGGGACUGAGAUACGGCCCAGACUCCUACGGGAGGCAGCAGUGGGGAAUAUUGCACAAUGGGCGGAAGCCUGAUGCAGCAACGCCGCGUGCGGGAUGACGGCCUUCGGGUUGUAAACCGCUUUCGCCUGUGACGAAGCGUGAGUGACGGUAAUGGGUAAAGAAGCACCGGCUAACUACGUG